UCUGGUUGAUCCUGCCAGUAGUCAUAUGCUUGUCUCAAAGAUUAAGCCAUGCAUGUCUAAGUAUAAGCAAUUUAUACAGUGAAACUGCGAAUGGCUCAUUAAAUCAGUUGUCGUUUAUUUGAUAGUUCCUUUACUACAUGGUAUAACUGUGGUAAUUCUAGAGCUAAUACAUGCUUAAAAUCUCGACCCUUUGGAAGAGAUGUAUUUAUUAGAUAAAAAAUCAAUGUCUUCGGACUCUUUGAUGAUUCAUAAUAACUUUUCGAAUCGCAUGGCCUUGUGCUGGCGAUGGUUCAUUCAAAUUUCUGCCCUAUCAACUUUCGAUGGUAGGAUAGUGGCCUACCAUGGUUUCAACGGGUAACGGGGAAUAAGGGUUCGAUUCCGGAGAGGGAGCCUGAGAAACGGCUACCACAUCCAAGGAAGGCAGCAGGCGCGCAAAUUACCCAAUCCUAAUUCAGGGAGGUAGUGACAAUAAAUAACGAUACAGGGCCCAUUCGGGUCUUGUAAUUGGAAUGAGUACAAUGUAAAUACCUUAACGAGGAACAAUUGGAGGGCAAGUCUGGUA
rnacentral:rRNA from 1 species